rnacentral:misc_RNA from 1 species
GGUCAGAGACAUCAGAUAUAAAGGUCAGUUAAAAAAUAUUGCUCAAAAUGCUGCUGUAAGUUGCAUUGGUUAGUGCUCCGCAAUCCAGCAUUAUCAAGUUUGUUUUCUUCCACAGUAAUGGUGUUCUGUUCCUUUUAAUUGAAUUUACUUGUAGAUGAUUUUAUUUUUGGGGUUCUGGUCUUAAGCAAAAAUAUUCAAGUUGAGUUGUUUAACUCUAUUGUAUUUUAUUCUGUUGUUUAAUGCCACUAUGGCAGAAUUAAGUUCCUUGUUGAGAUUUUCAAGAUAUGUUGAUGGAUUUAUUUUUAAGUGCUCUUUAUUAAAAAGGGAUUGAAAAGAAGCGGUAAUAUGCAUUAAUUUCAUGAAUCUGGUGAGAAUAUUGGAAGGGAAUUUGAUUUUAUUUUUUACUUCUGUCAGUUCUUAUUUUAUCUUUUUGGUUUCUCUAAUUCAAAUUUGUAUACUAAACUACAUAUUUGAGCUUUUAAUAAAGUGAGCAUAGAGGCUUAUUCUAUCUUGCUUAUUUUCUAUGCUAUCGAAAACCUUUUUGUCAUUGGAGAGGUUUCAAUGUUCUUAUGUUUAAAGUUUUAAACUGGAAAAUCACUUUAGUAUGUGUAGUGGUUACCUUCAUGCUAUUUUUCAACUUCUUAUUAUUCAUGUUUUUUUCCUCAUCUUGUAUCACCUAAUAGUUGGGGAAAAUUGUUAAAUUCUUAAAAUGUAUCAUACUUAGAAAUUGUUUUAUUAUUAUCCUUGUAUAAGAUACAUGGUAAUUUUCCAUGCAUGGGCCAAAAUCUGUGUAUUAGUUUAGUCCAUGUUGUAUUUUCCUAAU